rnacentral:misc_RNA from 1 species
GAUGAAGAACGCAGCAAAAUGCGAUAAGUAAUGUGAAUUGCAGAAUUCAGUGAAUCAUCGAAUCUUUGAACGCACAUUGCGCCCGCCAGUAUUCUGGCGGGCAUGCCUGUUCGAGCGUCAUUUCAACCCUCAAGCACAGCUUGGUGUUGGGACUCGCGUUAAUUCGCGUUCCUCAAAUUGAUUGGCGGUCACGUCGAGCUUCCAUAGCAUAGUAGUAAAACCCUCGUUACUGGUAAUCGUCGCGGCCACGCCGUUAAACCCCAACUUCUGAAUGUUGACCUCGGAUCAGGUAGGAAUACCCGCUGAACUUAAGCAUAUCAAUAAGCGGAGGA